ACCCUCCCCACUCGCUCGGUGGUUUUCCCCCUAGCGUUGCGUGUAAACUGUGAAAAAGGAGGAGAGGGGAAGGGGAAAAGGGGGAGGGGACGUCGCCGCUGUUCGCCGGAAAUGGCAGUCGCCUCCGACGAACCACCGGUGCACGGGCAGUAGUACGCUGAGGUUGGAGCGGUGGUUGUUUUAGGCCGGUGGCGUGUUGGUGCGGGUGGUUCCGGGUUGGUUGCUUGGGCGAGAUGUUGUGGUUGUAGUGCCUGCGCUUCAUGCGAUCGAUGCCGUUCCAGCUGAAGAACGGUCACCACCACCACCACCACGGUGCCGUCAUGGACGGGAAGCCGCCGCCGCCGCCUGCGACGCCACGGGUGUCGAUGUUCCGGAGGCUGCUCGUGAGGGUGUCCGCCUCGGAGAAGUUUGUCGCGGAUGGCAAGGAGAGGGACAACGACGAGAAGCCGCAGCCGCCCCCCGCCGGCGAGGGGGACGCCGCGGGGUCCGUUGGGCUGGACCGCAUGGUGCUCAGCUUCAUGGAGGACGCCGCGACAGUCGAGCGGCCGCCGCGGGGGCGCUGCAACUGCUUCAACGGCAGCAACCACGAGGAGAGCGACGACGAGGAGUUCGACUUCCUCCCCUCCGAGCACGCCUCCGCGCCGGUCGCCGCCGGCGCAGGCGACGCCUUGGAGGCUCUCAAGGGCCUGGUGCAGAGCGCGAGCCUUGCGGAACGGAAUCUUCUCGCGGACGCGUCUAGGAUCGCGGACAAGUGCGGCAAGAGCUGCAAGGGCAAGGCGGAGUACCGCCGCUCGGUGGCCGACGGCCUCAGGACCCUCGGCUACGACGCCGCCGUGUGUAAGUCGCGGUGGGAGAAGACCCCCUCCUACCCCGCAGGGGAGCACGAGUACAUCGACGCCGUGGUGGGGAAGGAGGAGGUGAGGCUGAUAGUCGAGGUGGACUUCCGGUCGCAGUUCGAGCUGGCGCGGUCGACCAAGGCGUACCGCGCGGCGCUCCAGGCGCUGCCGCCGCUGUUCGUGGGGACCCCGGACCGGUUCGGCCAGAUCGUGGCCGUCGUGGCGGAGUCGGCGCGGCAGAGCCUCAAGAAGAAGGGGCUGCACUUCCCCCCGUGGCGCAAGCCGGAGUACAUGUGCGCCAAGUGGUUCUCCCCGCAUGUCCGCUGCGGCGGCGACAAGGCCGUCGUUCCCGGCCCGGCAGCGGCCGCGGCGACGCCGGUCCAAGCGGCGAGCUUUUCCGGCGAGUUCGAGCUGGUGUUCGACAGGAAGCCAAAUAACGACGCCGCCGCCGGCGAGAAGAUCACGGUGGUCGUGUCGCCGUGGCGCCCAACGGAGGAGGCGAGCAAGAAGCAGCAGCUGCCCAAGGCGAAGGUCGUCACAGGGCUCGCCGCCGUCCUCUGAGCGUGGCGUGGUGAACAGAGAAUAACUAGUACCGCUAGCUAGCUUGGUAGCCGCUCAACUACUACUACUCCGCCCCUCCCCUCCCAAAGCCACAUCUACGCCGCCGCCGCCGCCUCCUGCUGACCCGCCUCGCCGCUGUCCCCAGCGUCGUGGACUGCUCUCCGCCGCCGCGGCUAGCAGCCAUGGCCACCACCGCUCGCUCUCUCCACCUCCCGACACCUCCUAAACCCUCUAACCCCUCCCACCACCGCAUCCCUGUCCCCUUCCACAUCCGCCCCCGCCCCCAGCGCCUCGGCCGCCGCCUGGCCGCCUCGUCCUCCGACCUCACCUCGUUCCCCGACCCGGCCCCGACCCCGAACGGCGUCUACGUCCCGUGGGCGGCGGCCCACCCCGCGGCCGCCGCGGCCACCGACGUGGACGCCGCCACGGAGGCGGAGCUGCGGGAGAACGGGUUCCGGAGCACGCGCCGCACCAAGCUGGUCUGCACCAUUGGGCCCGCCACCUGCGGCGCCGCCGAGCUCGAGGCGCUCGCCGUCGGCGGCAUGAACGUCGCGCGGGUCAACAUGUGCCACGGCGACCGCGAGUGGCACCGCGGGGUCAUCCGCGCCGUGCGGAGGCUCAACGACGAGAAGGGGUUCGCCGUCGCGGUCAUGAUGGACACCGAGGGGAGCGAGAUCCACAUGGGCGACCUCGGCGGCGCGCCCUCCGCAAAGGCCGAGGAUGGAGAAGUUUGGACAUUCAGCGUUAGAUCUUCUGACACAUCACUGCCAGAUCGAAUCAUUCAUGUGAAUUACGAUGGCUUUGCUGAAGGUCGUCACAGGGCUCGCCGCCGUCCUCUGAGCGUGGCGUGGUGAACAGAGAAUAACUAGUACCGCUAGCUAGCUUGGUAGCCGCUCAACUACUACUACUCCGCCCCUCCCCUCCCAAUUUUUUUCAUCAUCUUUUUCGUUUCUUUUUCGCCGCGCCUGUCGAUCCAUUUGGGGAUCUAGUUUUUGGUGUUUUGGUGUUUUCCGGGUUUUUUUCGGAAAAGAGAAAAAACACUUGCGUUCUAUUUUGCGCUCGUCUUUACUAGAAUCUUCCCUCUUCUUUUUCCUUUUCCUUUUUGACCCUUGUAAUUUUUGGUCUUGGCAUCUUGAGGGGCUUGUGAUCCCUUCCGAGUCCUGCCUAGUAGUAUGUAGCGGUAGUAGUUUCAGUUGCAAGGAAAGUGGUCAGGUCAGGUGAGGUUGCUUGCUUGUGGCAUGCCUCAUGAUCACCAGCUUGGCUACUUGUAGGAGCAAUCACGCCUCUCCUAUUAUUAGCACUCCUUGUUAUUGGUAUGGAAGAGAUGAACCAUGAGUACCUCUUGUUACUGCCAUCAGUGAAGAGAAUCAGAUAUGCACAAUGAGUGUAUUGCCACUUUGCCAGUAUGUUGUCAAUUCCCUGAA